rnacentral:lncRNA from 1 species
GGCCACACCACCUUUGGCAAUAUUGAGUCCUUUGAAAAAUCGAGCAAUAUCUUGGUCUGAAGACUGCCAUGGCAAACCUCUAGCACGUAUUACAGUCUCACUAUCCACUGUUUCUGAUUUGCUGCAAGGACCUGUUUCGUACUUGUAUUUCACAGUUUCAGGGUCAGUAAAUAUGUGAUCACAAUUUUCAGAGAGCAUGCUGAAAAUGAUAGCCACCAUUGUUUUCACUUGCCACACGCCAAAGUCCUCCUCCG